CGUCAUGGGUUCAAGAAACGGAGACCGAUCGAUGAUGAGGAUAUACGCGCGCGCUUCGCUCACUCAGAGAAUUGGGUCACACACACCGAAGGUAGUGGUCGAAGUGAGGAACAUUUUCUAAAGCACCCGGUGCACGCGCAUGCAACCCUCUUCGUUCGACUUAACUUAGGUAGACGAAAUGCUAUUUUUAAAUGUUGUAAAUUACAGUCAUUGGAUAUAAUUAUCCAAUUAUUAUUAUGAAAUGUGUGCGUAGGUGUCAAAAGUAUUAUCGAACAAAUCAAGUUAUACUAAAUACUUCAUUGUGCACAAGUGCCAUUUGUGUUUAAUUAAAAAAAUAUAUAGUUUCUACCGUAGUACUUUUAUUAUUAUUAAUAAUAGGUGCGAUGUGAAAAAGAAGACGUAUUUUAGCGUUAAAAAUAUCGUACUUUAUUUAGAUAUCGCCGAUGAAAGCGUUGAUGGAUUUCAUUCUAUAAACGACAUCAUCGCAGCUGACUCCCAGCGCGCGCAUAAAGUUGUGUAAAUUUCCACUCGCACUAUCUGCUGGUACCGCUGCUGUCGCCCGUUCAUUCUACUGUCGGCCACUGUCGGUGUUUGUACGCUGUUACGUUUACACUGUUUAGCUGCCAGAGAACAGAGACCGCGGCGGCUCACCAAAAGGAAUAACACACAAAAGAAUAUAAAAUGACCUCACCCGCAGCAUCACCACAAAAACCUGCCAUUUCAAAUUCGACAGCAUCACCAGCUCGUUUGCCCAGCGUACACCCAACGCCAACACAUACUGUUCAACAGCCUGCUCAGACAAUUCAAGCCAAAUGGCAGUGCGCUUUGCGAGAUCAUCCAGUAAUAACAACUGGAUCAAUGUCGUGGACUAGGGUCUGGAGAUUCUCCAAGCUUCUUGUGCAAACCGGAUGUUAGUCGCAUUUUGACUCAAAACGACCUGAUCGCGACAGAUAGACUUGAUAAAUGGACUAAAUAGACUUUUCAGUACUAUCUCUUUCUCCGACUAUCUUUUAUAUUAGCAAAACAUUAAUUAUAUCUCAUUAGAUUUAAGAAAAAUAAAACAAAAAGUACUAGGCGAGUAGAAAUUUAAAAUGUUAAUUUCAACAUUAUUUAUGUACGAAAUUGUUUUGAUUCUUCUUUUGUAGUGUCACUAUUUAUAGUCGUGUUGUCAAUUUCGUUUUAUUGUCAAUUAUACGUAAACACAACAAUAAAUUAGUUCCAAAAAUUUUUAAUAUUGUAUCAUAAAAUGCUAGGGUAUGGAUGGUGUAAUUAUGCACGCAACACCAUUGCUUAACUAUGAUUGUAAAAAACCUUUACUUUUAUUUCCUUAGAGACUAUUAAAGUGUUUCUCGUGACAUCCAUUGGCAAUAAAAUUGUUUAAAAUUAAGAUUUGUCGUUAAUCAAAUUUCGUUUUGUUUUGUAGAGCGUUUAUUAUAAUUAUUAAUUCCUUUUAUUGGAAGAUCGAUUUCUAAUAUGUAAUGGUCUUGAAAUAGAGUGUAAAGUUUGUAUAGAUAAAUAUUUAAUCCUUUAAUGUGUUAAAUGAGAAGAAACACCUUUAAUAUUAUCAUCGAUUUAACUUUUGUAAUUAGUCACUUCAAGCUCUAUUUCGUUAACAAGUGCACUAUUUCUCUUUAAUUUAAACUUUUAAGCUUCUAUAAAGCUCCUUAAUUUGUUUAAUAGUUUCUUAAAAACAUCAUUUAAUGAUAGUUAUUCUUAUUCUUGUUAUACAUAGAUAUUUUGUAUGAUUUAACAAGGCUGUUACUGUUAUACAAUCAUUUAACCUAUUAGGACGCGGUAUUUUCUUUAUUGACAUGAUAAGUAUUAGAAAUAUUUAUAUGAUAAUAAAAAUUAAUUGGAAUUUUAAUAUUUUUAACCACUCAAACAUUUAUUAUUAGACUUUAAGUUUUCUAGACUUGUAAGUUUGUAAUAUUUUUACGUUUCUAAUGUAAAUUAGUUUAUGUAACAUUUUAUAUUUUAUAAAAGCAUUUUUAGUAAGUUUUUAAACUAUAGUAUAAUUUUGUGGAUUGUUGUAAUCAAGUUUUUACGUUUAUUAAGGGUUAUAAUAAUUAUAUUGUAUUAUUAUACAGCAUUAAAAAAAAAAUUGUUUUCUUUUUUUUUUUUACUGUUUAAUUACAGUUUAACAAUUACUAUUAAUUUUAUUAAAUAAAUAUUUGAUGUUCAUUAAUAAUAAAUUAAUUGAAAAGAAAAAUUAUUUUGGUAUAAUUGGGGAUUAAAUCAAAGCUAUUUUUGAAUAACUAUUAACAUUAUGCACAUUGUAUUAUAUACUUUAUUCUUAAUUUAUUAUUUAAAAAUUAAAGUGUAGAACAAAAGGUGUUUUACUGAAAUGAGUGUGUCAUCUUAAGUCAAUAAGUACACUUAUUGACUGUAUGAGUUGUCCAUUGCUAAUUAAAUUAAUUAGAGUUAACUAAGUUAACUGUCAAAAAAAAAAAAAUAAAA